rnacentral:rRNA from 1 species
UCAGGACGAACGCUGGCGGCAUGCCUAACACAUGCAAGUCGAACGGAGUAAGAGAGAAGCUUGCUUAGCUCUUACUUAGUGGCGGACGGGUGAGUAACGCGUGAGUAACCUGCCUUUCAGAGGGGGAUAACGUUCUGAAAAGAACGCUAAUACCGCAUGAUAUAUUGGGGUCGCAUGGCCUUGGUAUCAAAGGAGCAAUCCGCUGAAAGAUGGACUCGCGUCCGAUUAGCCAGUUGGCGGGGUAAAGGCCCACCAAAGCGACGAUCGGUAGCCGGGUUGAGAGACUGAACGGCCACAUUGGGACUGAGACACGGCCCAGACUCCUACGGGAGGCAGCAGUGGGGGAUAUUGCACAAUGGAGGAAACUCUGAUGCAGCAAUGCCGCGUGAGGGAAGACGGUCUUCGGAUUGUAAACCUCUGUCCUUGGUGAAGAUAAUGACGGUAGCCAAGGAGGAAGCUCCGGCUAACUACGUGCCAGCAGCCGCGGUAAUACGUAGGGAGCAAGCGUUGUCCGGAUUUACUGGGUGUAAAGGGUGCGUAGGCGGCUUUUUAAGUCGGGCGUGAAAGCUGUGGGCUUAACCCACAAAUUGCGUUCGAAACUGGAAGGCUUGAGUGAAGUAGAGGUAGGCGGAAUUCCCGGUGUAGCGGUGAAAUGCGUAGAGAUCGGGAGGAACACCAGUGGCGAAGGCGGCCUACUGGGCUUUAACUGACGCUGAGGCACGAAAGCAUGGGUAGCAAACAGGAUUAGAUACCCUGGUAGUCCAUGCCGUAAACGAUGAUUACUAGGUGUGGGGGGUCUGACCCCUUCCGUGCCGGAGUUAACACAAUAAGUAAUCCACCUGGGGAGUACGGCCGCAAGGUUGAAACUCAAAGGAAUUGACGGGGGCCCGCACAAGCAGUGGAGUAUGUGGUUUAAUUCGAAGCAACGCGAAGAACCUUACCAGGUCUUGACAUCCAACUAACGAGGCAGAGAUGCAUUAGGUGCCCUUCGGGGAAAGUUGAGACAGGUGGUGCAUGGUUGUCGUCAGCUCGUGUCGUGAGAUGUUGGGUUAAGUCCCGCAACGAGCGCAACCCUUGUGAUUAGUUGCUACGCAAGAGCACUCUAAUCAGACUGCCGUUGACAAAACGGAGGAAGGUGGGGACGACGUCAAAUCAUCAUGCCCCUUAUGACCUGGGCUACACACGUACUACAAUGGUCGCUAACAGAGGGAAGCCAAGCCGCGAGGUGGAGCAAACCCCCAAAAGCGAUCUCAGUUCGGAUUGUAGGCUGCAACCCGCCUACAUGAAGUUGGAAUUGCUAGUAAUCGCGGAUCAGCAUGCCGCGGGUGAAUACGUUCCCGGGCCUUGUACACACCGCCCGUCACACCAUGGGAGCCGGUAAUACCCGAAGCCAAUAGUCUAACCGCAAGGGGGACG